rnacentral:rRNA from 1 species
GCGUAAAGCGCACGCAGGCGGUCUGUCAAGUCGGAUGUGAAAUCCCCGGGCUCAACCUGGGAACUGCAUUCGAAACUGGCAGGCUUGAGUCUUGUAGAGGGGGGUAGAAUUCCAGGUGUAGCGGUGAAAUGCGUAGAGAUCUGGAGGAAUACCGGUGGCGAAGGCGGCCCCCUGGACAAAGACUGACGCUCAGGUGCGAAAGCGUGGGGAGCAAACAGGAUUAGAUACCCUGGUAGUCCACGCCGUAAACGAUGUCUACUUGGAGGUUGUGCCCUUGAGGCGUGGCUUCCGGAGCUAACGCGUUAAGUAGACCGCCUGGGGAGUACGGCCGCAAGGUUAAAACUCAAAUGAAUUGACGGGGGCCCGCACAAGCGGUGGAGCAUGUGGUUUAAUUCGAUGCAACGCGAAGAACCUUACCUGGUCUUGACAUCCACAGAACUUUCCAGAGAUGGAUUGGUGCCUUCGGGAACUGUGAGACAGGUGCUGCAUGGCUGUCGUCAGCUCGUGUUGUGAAAUGUUGGGUUAAGUCCCGCAACGAGCGCAACCCUUAUCCUUUGUUGCCAGCGGUCCGGCCGGGAACUCAAAGGAGACUGCCAGUGAUAAACUGGAGGAAGGUGGGGAUGACGUCAAGUCAUCAUGGCCCUUACGACCAGGGCUACACACGUGCUACAAUGGCGCAUACAAAGAGAAGCGACCUCGCGAGAGCAAGCGGACCUCAUAAAGUGCGUCGUAGUCCGGAUUGGAGUCUGCAACUCGACUCCAUGAAGUCGGAAUCGCUAGUAAUCGUGGAUCAGAAUGCCACGGUGAAUACGUUCCCGGGCCUUGUACACACCGCCCGUCACACCAUGGGAGUGGGUUGCAAAAGAAGUAGGUAGCUUAACCUUCGGGAGGGCGCUUACCACUUUGUGAUUCAUGACUGGGGUGAAGUCGUAACAAGGUAACCGUAGGGGAACCUGC